CCUGGUUGAUCCUGCCAGUAGCAUAUGCUUAUCUCAAAGAUGGAAUGCCUGUGUCAGUACACACCGUUACAGUGAAACUGCAAAUGGCUCAUCAAAAUCAGUAAUGGUUCCUUUGAUCCCUCCAUCUUUCACUUGAAUAACUUAGGUAGUUCUGGAGGUCAUACAUGCUGAUGAGCGCUGACCUUCCAGGAUGCAUGCAUUCAUCAGACAAAGACCUGUCAAGGCUUGCCUGUCCUUUGCGGUGACUCUAGAUUACCUUGGGCUGAUUGCACAUCCAUGUGAUGGCGACGAUACAUUCGGAUGUCUGCCCUAUCAACUGUUGAUGGUACUUUCUGUGCCUACUAUGGUGACCAUGGGCAACAGGGAUUCAGGAUUCAAUUCUGGAGAGGGAGCCUGAGGGACGGCUACCACAUCCAAGGAAGGCAGCAGGCAUGGAAAUUACCCACUCCUAACUCUGGGAGGUAGUGAUGACAUAUAACAAUGCAGGACUCAAACAAGGCCCAGGUAUUUGAAACAGUGCAAUUCAAAUCCUUUAACGGGGAUCCAUUGUAGUGCAAAUCUGAUGUCAGCUGCCACAGAAAUAGUAGCUCCAAUAGUGUAUUUCGAAGUUGCUCUAGUGAAAAAACUCAUAGUCAGAUCUUGUGAUUGAGCUGCCAGUCUGCUGCGAGGCAAGCUUUUGCCUGUCCCAGCCACUGCCUCUCAACACUCCCUUGAAAUCCUGGGGGUCCAAAGCAUUUACUUAGAAAAAGUUAGUGUUCAAAGCGGGCCAGUUGCCUGAAUACUUCAGCUAGGUAUUAUGGAAUAGGACAUUGGCACUAUUUUGUACUUUUUCGGAACUGGGGCCAUGAUUGAAAUGGACUGCCGGGGGCAUUCGUAUUGUUCUGCUUGAGGAGAAACUCUUGGACCAUCGCAAGAUGGACCAAAGUGAAAGCCUUUUGCAAGAAUGUUUUCAUGAAUGAAGAACGAAAGUCAGAGAUUAGGAUACGAUCAGAUACCGUUGUAGUUCCAACCAUCAAAAAUGCCAACUUGCGAUUCGGCAGCAUCGUUCUCAUUACCCACUAAGCAGCUUCUGGGAAGUAAUGUCUUUUGGUUCCAGGGGGGAGUAGGGCUAUAAAAAUGGAACUGGAAGGAAUUGAUGGAAGGGCACCACCAGUAGUGGAGCCUGUAGCUUCAUUUGGCUCAACACAGAAAACAUCACGUGGCCUGGACACAGAAAGGAUUGACUGAUGAAUGACUCUUUCUCAGUUGCGGGGGGGGGUUGCGUGGCAGUUUUUAGUUGGUGGCGCAUUUCACUGGUCAAUCCCGAUCAGAAACGAGACUCCUCCAUGGCAGCUAGUUACGCGACCCACAGCCGUUGGCGUUCAACUACUUAGAGGGACAAGUGGCAUUCAGCCACUAGAUUGAGCAAUUACAGUUCUAUGACGCCGUUAGCGCCUUAGCUGUCCGGGGCUGCACACACAAUAACACUGAACAGAUCAACAUGUGUCAUCCCACAUAACCUGCUGAACCCUGUUCAUGAAAGGGGUUGGGAUUGCAAUCAUUUCUCAUGAACAAGGAAUUCCCAGUAAGUGUGGGACAUUAGCCUGUAUUGAUUGGACCCUGUCCUUUGUACACACCGCCCAAUGCUACCACCAAUUGGAUUGUUUAGUGAGGUACUCAGAUCAGUCCACCUGGGGUCAGCAACAAACACUGAUGGAGUGUUCACCAAGAAGAUGAUCAGACUUGACUAUCUUGAGGAAGCAAAAGUCGUAACAAAGUUUCUGUAGGUGAACCUGUGGAAG
rnacentral:rRNA from 1 species